rnacentral:rRNA from 1 species
GGGCAGUGCGGGUGCUAUACAUGCAGUCGAGCGGACAGAAGGGAGCUUGCUCCCGGAUGUUAGCGGCGGACGGGUGAGUAACACGUGGGUAACCUGCCUGUAAGACUGGGAUAACUCCGGGAAACCGGAGCUAAUACCGGAUAGUUCCUUGAACCGCAUGGUUCAAGGAUGAAAGACGGUUUCGGCUGUCACUUACAGAUGGACCCGCGGCGCAUUAGCUAGUUGGUGAGGUAACGGCUCACCAAGGCGACGAUGCGUAGCCGACCUGAGAGGGUGAUCGGCCACACUGGGACUGAAACACGGCCCAGACUCCUACGGGAGGCAGCAGUAGGGAAUCUUCCGCAAUGGACGAAAGUCUGACGGAGCAACGCCGCGUGAGUGAUGAAGGUUUUCGGAUCGUAAAGCUCUGUUGUUAGGGAAGAACAAGUGCAAGAGUAACUGCUUGCACCUUGACGGUACCUAACCAGAAAGCCACGGCUAACUACGUGCCAGCAGCCGCGGUAAUACGUAGGUGGCAAGCGUUGUCCGGAAUUAUUGGGCGUAAAGGGCUCGCAGGCGGUUUCUUAAGUCUGAUGUGAAAGCCCCCGGCUCAACCGGGGAGGGUCAUUGGAAACUGGGAAACUUGAGUGCAGAAGAGGAGAGUGGAAUUCCACGUGUAGCGGUGAAAUGCGUAGAGAUGUGGAGGAACACCAGUGGCGAAGGCGACUCUCUGGUCUGUAACUGACGCUGAGGAGCGAAAGCGUGGGGAGCGAACAGGAUUAGAUACCCUGGUAGUCCACGCCGUAACGAUGAGUGCUAAGUGUUAGGGGGUUUCCGCCCCUUAGUGCUGCAGCUAACGCAUUAAGCACUCCGCCUGGGGAGUACGGUCGCAAGACUGAUACUCAAGGAAUUGACGGGGCCCGCACAAGCGGUGGAGCAUGUGGUUUAAUUCGAAGCAACGCGAAGAUCUUACAGGUCUUGACAUCCUCUGACACCCUAGAGAUAGGCUUUUCCCUUCGGGACAGAAUGACAGUGGUGC